AGGGAGGGCCUUUCAGGCAUCCUCUCCUAAAACUUUCAGGCCGAUCCCUUUGGGAUCGGCCUUUUUUUCUGUGUGG
rnacentral:sRNA from 1 species